CUGAUCCCCCAACAAACUCUAACUGAUCCGCCUCAAAAUUCCACCACCUUCCUCUGGCGGCGCCACCGUGAACCGCUACCAAACUUACACCAAAUACCUUCCUCCAUCUCCAUAUCCCAAAUCCGCACCCCUCUUCCCCCAAAUCGAAUCCCAACUAUUCAAAUCUCGAAUCGAAGUUUCAAACCCUAGCCGCCGCCCUAGAAUUCCCAACCCCCUGCAUGGCGGCGCCGGCUCCGAUCCUCACCAAAAUUACACCCCGGGACCUUCACGAACCCCUCUUCCCAAAUCCCAUAUCAGUUUCCCUCGAACACCCUUGAAUCCUCUCGGAUCUGGAUUUGAAGACGAACCCUAGAAAUUCCAAAAUCCUAAAUCGAGUGUUCGUUGAAUUUUUCCGGUCUAAAUUGAUUUUAUUCGUGUGUUCUUGUUAAGAACACACGAUUAAUUUCAAAAUCGGCCAGAAAUCAGAUGAUUUGAAGACCCAGGCUCCCUCUUUCAUUUCCCGAACCUUUUCGUGGGUACUUAUUCUAAGACUUGCAGAAUGUGAAUCCAAAUUUGAUGAAUGAAAUGGUUAGGGAACUUUGAAGCCGUGCAUUAAAUUUGUUCACUUUUAUAGCUUAGCUGUAUUUCUAUUUUGUUCAUAAAAUGUCACUCAUGUCUUUUGGAAAUCAUCAGAAUUUGUGGAGUAGUCUGAUCUCCCCUUUAUCAUGUUCACUCUUAAUUGUUUAGCUGUAAACAUGCUCUGUAGUACUGGGUGGAUCAUUGACUCUGCCUCUUGAAUAAGUUCGAAUUCGUGUUAAUAAGGCUUUAAGUUUGUAAUUGCUAAUUUCAGUUAGUUUGUUAAGGGCUUUGGUUAGUUUUUGGCUGAGAGUUACUGGGAUUCACUAAUGUAGAUGUACAUUUGAGUUCACUGGGAAAUGACAAAUGGUUAGUUGGGUUUUA